UAAUUUUGUUUAAUAGCAGGACAGCUGUUUACAAACAGUCAUUACUGCCCGCUCCUUCAUUUAAAUAAAUGGCGGAAGUCGAAGAAGGCUAACUACGUAAACACAAACAUCACCGGUAAAAAAGGGACAUUUAGCAUCUGCCGACAAAAAUGUUGGGUGGUCUAUGUACAUUUCACCUGGGCCUAAAAGUGAGAUUUAAUUGUGCUUGCCUGCCCAAUAAAAAUGAAUGGCUAAAUCUAUUUUGCAAGUGUAGUAUUGUUUUAAUUUUCUUAACUUAAUGUUACAUCUGAGACAUAUACUAUAUCUGAAGUGAAAUAUUUCUUCAUUCAGGCAUUAUACUAUCCAACACAAACGUUUGUAUGUAUAUAUAAACCUCGUGUGUAAUUAAUUAACCAAUUGACUAACGUAAUUAUCAGAAUAACAGAAUAUAACACCAUUAACGCGUUAGUUUAAUCUUUGUUCUAGACAUCGUUUGACGGUAUUUUAAUAAAUAUCAUAGUUUUAAAUCAUUUAGAUUCCAAAGAUGUGUAUUUGACUUUAAAACAUAUGUGAAGCCACAGAGAUCGUUGUAAUUUUCCACCAAUAGCACAUUAGUUCCAUAAUUACUAUGUUGUUACAGAUGCGCUUAAUAUUACAAACACUGCUCUGUCAACAGCGCGUCCCCCUGCUAAGACACGUCUACAAAACAUCGUGUUAAACUGCAUGAAAGGGAACUGUCGUAUGUUGGAAAUUUGUGUAUAUUCGUGAACUAAAACGUCCGAGAUAUAAGCAUCUGGCCGUGUUAUGGACCGUAAACAGCACACACUACUUGAGAAGAAAGCAUUCCUCACUCUCUGGCUCUGGUGCAAGCGUGACCAAAAAUGCAAUAAAAGAAGUAGAAGACAAGCAUGUGUCAGGGGAGGGCUCAGAGCUGGAGACGUGCAGACGGCAUGGUGACCCGAGCCACCCCCCGCGAGCCGCUGGACACACGAUCUGUCACUUCUCCUCUGCCUCGCGGAACGUGCGAUGGCCGUCCUGCCGGGUGUCCACAGGGUGGCCUCGUGAACGGACCCUUCCUUCCCUGAGCGUGCGAGUCGGGGAGGAGCGACGGGGAAAGAAUGCGUACGAGGGGCGAUCCAGGCUGAGUCUGUCCUCAAGGUAUGAGACGACAUGUUGAACGUGAGGGAGAGCUUGGGCAACACCAUGCUUCACCUUUCCAUGUUUCAGGAGAUGACUGGAUUGGACGUGCGGGUUUCACUUGCCUAACCAUGUCAGCAACUCACUCUCCCUCAAACACACCCACAUCCUCUGUACACACGUAUAUGCAUUCAGUGACUGUCCGUGAGCAGCCAGAGCGGAACAUGCCUGUAGCGUUUGGACAGAGGCAAGCCCAGUGGCAGAUUAGCUUAACACCUGUAAGAAGUCUGGACAAUAGUGUUCACGCAGACGUCGGCGGAGCAGAGACACAUAUGAAGGGAGUGUCCAGGCCUUGCUCGACAGACACGUGACUUUCCUAAUAAAUACAGCUGAAUUCUAACAAACGCAGCACUUUAGUGAUUCAUCCCCUCUUGCUUUUCUAACUCUCCUCAUCCUCCUUCUCUUCCUCCUCCUCUCUAUUGCUCCUCUCAUCUCUUUUGUUUCUCUUGCCCCCAAGGAAAAUGAUCAUCGGUGCCGGAAUGAACCCUUGCACCA